UAACACGUGGGUAACCUACCUAUAAGACUGGGAUAACUUCGGGAAACCGGAGGCUAAUACCGGAUAAUAUUUCGAACCGCAUGGUUCGAUAGUGAAAGAUGGUUUUGCUAUCACUUAUAGAUGGACCCGCGCCGUAUUAGCUAGUUGGUAAGGUAACGGCUUACCAAGGCGACGAUACGUAGCCGACCUGAGAGGGUGAUCGGCCACACUGGAACUGAGACACGGUCCAGACUCCUACGGGAGGCAGCAGUC
rnacentral:rRNA from 1 species